UACGGAGGAUCCAAGCGUUAUCCGGAUUUAUUGGGUUUAAAGGGUGCGUAGGCGGCCUGUUAAGUCAGGGGUGAAAGACGGUAGCUUAACUAUCGCAGUGCCCUUGAUACUGAUGGGCUUGAAUAUACUAGAGGUAGGCGGAAUGUGACAAGUAGCGGUGAAAUGCAUAGAUAUGUCACAGAACACCAAUUGCGAAGGCAGCUUACUAUGGUGCAAUUGACGCUGAGGCACGAAAGCGUGGGGAUCAAACAGG
rnacentral:rRNA from 1 species